rnacentral:tRNA from 4 species
GCCGCAGUUGCCAAGUUGGUCAAGGCGGGCGCUUGAAGAGCGUCUUAUGCGAGUUCGAUUCUUGCCUGCGGCACAA